GUCAUUCAAGUUGAGCGCCGAGACACUCGAGGUGAUGAGGUAGAGUUCAGUGCUUCUGCUGGUGCAUACGUAGGUUUUGGUACAAUAGCUAUUUAGCUAAUUAUUUGUUCUAUCUCAUAAGUGGAAUGAUCAAUUGACUUUGACUGUAAAUUAAUAAACAGACACAACGGACUAGCUGAGUACCUACGUAGCUAAUCAUUGAUCUUGUCUUGAGUGAAAGGGUGUCGUUUGUUAAUUCAGAGACUGGCUAAAAGGUAACCCAUACGGCUUUAUUUGUUUAUUUCCCUUCUGAACCCUUAUUUACUUGGCUUAUGUUGAUGAUAUUUCUAAUCUUUGCAGGUAUACUCAACUGCAUCUUAGUUUUGUGCUCCUGCAUAUUGUUAUUGUGUUUAUUCCUAUCAGCUAAUAUAAAUAUCAUAACUCUCAAAGUUUUCAUUAUUAGUUUUUUUACAGAUUCUUGAAGCUUUGCGUGCUGGAUUCUCCAAUGUAAUUGAAGUAGCUCAACAUCAUGUAGUUACAUUGUCAUGGUAGUAAUCUUUGCCUGUUGUUGACUUAAGAGAGCUAGCUGUUUGCUAGAAUAUAUUAAACUGCUAAUUUUACACCUAUUUAUGUACAUGUCAUCAUAGUUAGAAUUUCAGAAUCAGUUUUGAUUUAUGAAAAUGCUAGCUUUUUCAUAGUAUAGAAAUAGUUUUCACGAAUUAUAAUGGCAAAUUAUUUUUCUUGUUUUCACAAGUAAUAAUGCCAAAUGCUUUUCUUGUGGUAUUCAGAAGUUAAGGCACUGCGUUUCAGAUUGACGACGGUUUAUACAUGGAUGGGGUUGGCAGUUUCGAGCCACUUAAUUUACGGGUGGCGAUUGCUGUCACCGUUGUUUAAUACCAAAUAUAUUAUCCGUCUAGCUAGAUUUUUAUUUGUGUUUGUGUCACAGGCUGCUAAGAAUGUUCUAGCUGCUGUGGCAGCGACAUCGUCUGUUCCUGCUUUCAGGGCACCCUACUGCAAAUACACCUUCUGGAUCAGGUAUGUAUCAUAUGGCCGUUUGUCUCUCCAGCACGCACAUGAACUACAACCUUAAUCGUGCUCAGUAACAUAUUUUGUGAUUAGAGUCCACCCGUCUAGGCGCCGCCAUCAUCCUCGCACCGUCGCGCGCUGCGCCGGAGACACGGACGAGGUCGAGCAGUAUGUGCCUUCGUCCUCUUCCCUCGGAGUGUGGGACCGAGGAUAAGGACGAGGAGAAGAAAUAUGUGGCAUCUUCAUCGUUGUCUCUUGGCGCGCGGUGCUGGAGAGACAGAAAAGGAGGUCGAGAGCUGGAAGUGCGGCAUAUUGUAGUGUUUUGUUUGAUGGGGAAAUAUCUUUGUAUGCCAGCAUAUUUUGUAGUGGUUUGUUUGAUGGGAACUACCUUUGUAUGCCUGCAUAUUUUGCUUAGGUAUUGAUGAUUCCAUGCUAAAUUUGUACAAGAUUAAAAAAAAAAUUGUGAGUGCAACAACUAUUUGUUAGUUGCACCAAAUUAAAUUCAUACAACUGUGUUACACAGAUCUGCAAAUGCAAAUAAAAAUGUGUGUGUACAUUAG
rnacentral:lncRNA from 1 species